GGAACCAUGGGUUUUUCGGUUGGUUUUUUUUUCAUCUUAAACCUCCUCCUGAUCAUUUCUUCAUGUCUUUGGUUCUUUUCUUGUAAGGCAUAAUGAGUGAAUGUUCUCUUUUUAACAUCUCCCCAGUGGUGAUGAUUUUAUCAACUUUGUCAUUUCGUUUGUGCUUGUUUUUCCAUCACCACUUCUACUUAUUUCAGAACUGAUGCGAGUGCACAAAGACAAGAAAAACAGAAAACUGAACCACUCCAUGUAGAGCGGACCAGAAUUCAGUGCCUUAAUAGGAUUGGGCACAUCCACUACAGAUCCAGCUGAGGCAAUGGGCCGCGUCGCUCUGCCAAACUCAGUACCCACCUGAGGAGAAAGCCCUGCCACGUCGCUACACUACAGCUUAUGUAGGAAGUUGCAGUGAAUAUUCUGUAAUACUCACCUGACUAAAAGUUAGCAUUUACCUGGUUAAUAGUUUGCAGCAGCCACGGAGCAGCACAGGACUUGUGCAUUUUGUAAAGAAGGGAAGAGUUGGGAAGCCUUUGGCAAUGGAAAGAAUCUUUUUGACUGGGAAAGGAGCAUCCACCAGUACAAUGCACCUGCGUGAUCUUCUGGAUUGAAAACUCUGAUGCCCUGUAGCAGCCUCCAAAAUUAAACGUCUGGCCAUCUGAAAGAAGACAGCAGAAUGGCACUGAGCUGUGAAUAAUGUGUAGUAAGACAAAAGGAUUCUUGAACAGUUGACUAACAUGUCUAGCAUGGUAAUGCUUUGAAAUAGAAAGUUGGCCAUAGUUGAUUUGCAGGUUCUUCCCACGAAGAGAUGAAACUGGUGAUGGAUUCAGCUAUGUAGAUGCUGCAUUAUUUACAAUGAAGGUAAAAAACCCUUCUGCUUUGGACCCAGGAGGAAUUAAAU
rnacentral:lncRNA from 1 species